AGGCAUUACGUCACCUCGGAGCGCCUGGGCCCCGACCCGGGCCUCUGGGCUCUCGGCUGGGCUGCACGCCCAGGGGCUGAGAGCGGAGUGGAAAAUGGGGAGGAAGACGGGAAAGAAAGGCUGGACGCGCGAGUGUUUUCCUCUUUGGCGCUUCCUCCAAAAUGGGCCAGGGGUGCAAACUUCCUGGGCUAUGCUUUCCCGGUACAAAAAUAAGAGUUGCCCGGCUUCUCCCUCAUGUCUACCCCAGCUUGAAUGACAGGUGCCGCCGGCCGAAGGUUCCUUCACCUCCGCCAGGAGAGCCUGUCCCUCACACAGCCCAGAAGGUCGGAGCAGCCAGACUACAGGUCUCCUGCCGCCCUGUUCUCAGGGAGCCAACCGGUGUCCACUGUCCUUGAUCAGUACCAAGCGGUUUUCAGGAACAUCCUGAUUGCUGGUGAAUCGAGAACCAAUUUUUCAGAUUGUGCCCAUUUUGAUUGACAAUUGAAUCUAAUGAGCUGGCCAAACAAAUAUUUCCUGAGCUCCUAUUAAAUGCAAAGCCCCAGGGACUCAAAGAUGGACAGGAUCCACCUGCUUUCAAAGAGCCUACCACCAAGGCUGCUCCCAUUUUAUGAAACCUGUCCCUACCAACUCUUAUUUCCCUUAAUAUCUGAGAAUAAACACUACUAUGGUUUACUACAA